rnacentral:rRNA from 1 species
GACGGAGGGCGCAAGCGUUGUUCGGAAUUACUGGGCGUAAAGCGCGGGCAGGCGGUCUGUUAAGUCGUUUGUGAAAAUCCGGGGCUCAACUCCGGAAAUGCGUACGAUACUGGCAGGCUGGAGACUGGUAGAGGCUAGCGGAAUUCCUGGUGUAGCGGUGGAAUGCGUAGAUAUCAGGAAGAACACCUGUGGCGAAGGCGGCUAGCUGGGCCAGUUCUGACGCUCAUCCGCGAAAGCGUGGGGAGCAAACAGGAUUAGAAACCCCAGUAGUCC